rnacentral:rRNA from 1 species
UACGGAGGGGGCAAGCGUUAUUCGGAAUUAUUGGGCGUAAAGGGCGCGUAGGCGGCUAGAUGUGUCAAAGGUGAAAUCCCUCGGCUCAACUGAGGAACUGCCUUUGAAACUGUCUGGCUUGAGGCCGGGAGAGGGAUGCGGAAUUCCAGGUGUAGCGGUGAAAUGCGUAGAUAUCUGGAGGAACACCGGUGGCGAAGGCGGCAUCCUGGACCGACACUGACACUGAGGAGCGAAAGCCAGGGGAGCAAACGGG